rnacentral:rRNA from 1 species
GAUCCUGGCUCAGGAUGAACGCUAGCUACAGGCUUAACACAUGCAAGUCGCGGGGUAACAUCUGGUAGAGCUUGCUCUUCCAGGAUGACGACCGGCGCACGGGUGAGUAACGCGUAUCCAACCUGCCCACCACUUGGGGAUAACCUUGCGAAAGUAAGACUAAUACCCAAUGACGUCUCUAGAAGACAUCUGAAAGGGAUUAAAGAUUUAUCGGUGAUGGAUGGGGAUGCGUCUGAUUAGCUUGUUGGCGGGGUAACGGCCCACCAAGGCAACGAUCAGUAGGGGUUCUGAGAGGAAGGUCCCCCACAUUGGAACUGAGACACGGUCCAAACUCCUACGGGAGGCAGCAGUGAGGAAUAUUGGUCAAUGGGCGAGAGCCUGAACCAGCCAAGUAGCGUGCAGGACGACGGCCCUAUGGGUUGUAAACUGCUUUUAUAAGGGAAUAAAGUGAGUCUCGUGAGACUUUUUGCAUGUACCUUAUGAAUAAGGACCGGCUAAUUCCGUG